GCCCUUAGAGUUUGAUCCUGGCUCAGAACGAACGCUGGCGGCAGGCUUAACACAUGCAAGUCGAACGAGAAAGCACCUUCGGGUGCGAGUAUAGUGGCGAACGGGUUAGUAACGCGUGGGAACAUACACAGCACUGGGGGAUAACCAUUGGAAACGAUGGCUAAUACCGCAUACGCCCUACGGGGGAAAGAUUUAUUGGUGUUGGAUUGGCCCGCGUUAGAUUAGUUUGUUGGUGAGGUAAUGGCUCACCAAGGCUACGAUCUAUAGCUGGUUUGAGAGGAUGAUCAGCAACACUGGAACUGAGACACGGUCCAGACUCCUACGGGAGGCAGCAGUGGGGAAUAUUGCACAAUGGGGGAAACCCUGAUGCAGCCAUGCCGCGUGAGUGAAGAAGGCCUUAGGGUUGUAAAGCUCUUUCAGAUGUGAGGAUGAUGACGAUAACAUCAAAAGAAGCUCCGGCUAACUUCGUGCCAGCAGCCGCGGUAAUAAGGGCG
rnacentral:rRNA from 1 species